UACGUAGGGCGCAAGCGUUGUCCGGAAUCAUUGGGCGUAAAGAGCUCGUAGGCGGCCUGUCGCGUCUGCUGUGAAAUCCCGGGGCUCAACCCCGGGCGUGCAGUGGAUACGGGCUGGCUAGAGGCAGGCAGGGGAGAACGGAAUUCCCGGUGUAGCGGUGAAAUGCGCAGAUAUCGGGAGGAACACCGGUGGCGAAGGCGGUUCUCUGGGCCUGUACUGACGCUGAG
rnacentral:rRNA from 1 species